rnacentral:rRNA from 1 species
AUUGAACGCUGGCGGAAUGCUUUACACAUGCAAGUCGAACGGCAGCACGGACUUCGGUCUGGUGGCGAGUGGCGAACGGGUGAGUAACAUAUCGGAACGUAUCCAAUAAUGGGGGAUAACGAGUCGAAAGAUUCGCUAAUACCGCAUACGCCCUACGGGGGAAAGCUGGGGACCUUCGGGCCUGGCGUUAAUGGAGCGGCCGAUAUCUGAUUAGCUAGUUGGUGAGGUAAAGGCUCACCAAGGCGACGAUCAGUAGCUGUUCUGAGAGGACGGCCAGCCACACUGGAACUGAGACACGGUCCAGACUCCUACGGUAGGCAGCAGUGGGGAAUUUUGGACAAUGGGCGCAAGCCUGAUCCAGCCAUUCCGCGUGAGUGAAGAAGGCCUUCGGGUUGUAAAGCUCUUUCGCAAGGGAAGAAAACUUAGCCACUAACAUUGGUUGAGGUUGACGGUACCUUGAUAAGAAGCACCGGCUAACUACGUGCCAGCCGCCGCCGUAA